rnacentral:rRNA from 1 species
UACAGAGGUCCCAAGCGUUGUUCGGAUUUAUUGGGCGUAAAGGGUGCGUAGGCGGCGGAGUAAGUUGGGUGUGAAAUCCCGGGGCUCAACCUCGGAAUGGCAUUCGAUACUGCUUCGCUCGAGUACUGGAGAGGAGGCUGGAAUUUACGGUGUAGCAGUGAAAUGCGUAGAUAUCGUAAGGAAGACCAGUGGCGAAGGCGAAUCUCUGGACAGUUACUGACACUGAGGCACGAAGGCCAGGGGAGCAAACGGG